rnacentral:rRNA from 1 species
GACGAACGCUGGCGGCGUGCCUAAUACAUGCAAGUCGAGCGAAGUUUUUCUGGUGCUUGCACUAGAAAAACUUAGCGGCGAACGGGUGAGUAACACGUAAAGAACCUGCCUCAUAGACUGGGACAACUAUUGGAAACGAUAGCUAAUACCGGAUAACAGUAUUUCUCGCAUGAGAGAUAUUUAAAAGUUGGUUAUGCUAACACUAUGAGAUGGCUUUGCGGUGCAUUAGCUAGUUGGUGGGGUAAAGGCCUACCAAGGCGACGAUGCAUAGCCGACCUGAGAGGGUGAUCGGCCACACUGGGUCUGAGACACGGCCCAGACUCCUGCGGGAGGCAGCAGUAGGGAAUCUUCCGCAAUGGGCGAGAGCCUAACGGAGCAACGCCGCGUGAGUGAAGAAGGAUUUCGGUUCGUAAAGCUCUGUUGUUAGGGAAGAAUGGAUAUGUAGUAACUAUACAUGUAAGAGACGGUACCUAACCAGAAAGCCACGGCUAACUACGUG